GAUGAACGCUGGCGGCGUGCCUAAUACAUGCAAGUCGAGCGAAGCGGGGACGGGUGAGUAACACGUGGAUAACCUCCUAUAAGACUGGGAUAACUUCGGGAAACCGGAGCCUAAACGGAAAAUUAUAGCUGGAUCUGCGCUGCAUUAGCUAGUUGGUAAGGUAACGGCUUACCAAGGCAACGAUGCAUAGCCGACCUUAGAGGGUGAUCGGCCACACUGGAACUGAGACACGGGCCAGACUCCUACGGGAGGCAGCAGUGGGGAAUCUUCCGCAAUGGGCGAAAGCCUGACGGAGCAACGCCGCGUGAGUGAUGAAGGUCUUCGGAUCGUAAAACUCUGUUAGUAGGGAAGCGUUACCUAAACAGAAAGCCACGGCUAACUACGUGCCAGCAGCCGCGGUAAUUC
rnacentral:rRNA from 1 species